rnacentral:rRNA from 1 species
UACGGAGGGUGCAAGCGUUAAUCGGAAUUACUGGGCGUAAAGCGCACGCAGGCGGUCUGUCAAGUCGGAUGUGAAAUCCCCGGGCUCAACCUGGGAAUGGCAUUUGGGACUGCAAGGCUCGAGUGCGGCAGAGGAGACUGGAAUUCCUGGUGUAGCAGUGAAAUGCGUAGAUAUCAGGAGGAAUACCGAUGGCGAAGGCAGGUCUCUGGGCUGACACUGACGCUCAUGCACGAAAGCGUGGGGAGCAAACAGG